UUUAUUGCUCUGAAAACUUUCUCUCUUCCAAACUCCAUCUCUCGAUGCUUCCCUAAUCUUGUUCGCUCAGCUCAUCAUGCCGUGCUUGGUUCUCUGCAUAUUCAAGAACGCCCAUUUCCAGGUAAAAUUCCUCUCCUCUUCUUAGCGUCUCUGUUGCAAGGAUAUGUGCAAGGUUGUUUGUAGAUCUUGGUGUGUGAAGAAAUCUGAUGUUUUUUACUUAUUGUAUUUUCUGUUGUAUAUCAUAAAUAAAUGCCCCUACCAUUGAUCUGUCAUGAUCCUUUUUGUUGCAUUUCUUGAUUAUUGCGAGGGAAUCUCCUUCAAAAAUGAGUGCCUGCCAACCAUGGUCAACUCCUACUCGGACUGCUUUCCGACAGGCAAUUGCUUCAGCAGCAUAAGCAGAUGGAAUUCCAUUGUGGAUUUCUGAGCAGGAUAAAAGAAUUUUUCCUUCCGAGUCUCUGGCCACAACACCUGAGGCUGACCGGUUCUGAAUCUGAUUAUAUGCACCAUCAAAAUUAAUCUUUAUGGAUUCCCACUAUGGUGCACAGCAAAAGAGUCGACUUUGAUUUGGGUUUAACUGCUCUAGUGCCCAGCACAGUUACGGAAUAAGUGAUUCAUUGUUUUAGCUCCUUCUCCACAUCGGGGGCACCUUGUGUUGACUGUUAAUUUCCGGUGUUAUAGAUUUACCUUUGUAGGCAGAUAGUUCCAUGAUAGCCGCCAUAUUGUGAUCUUUAUUCUUGUUGGUAUAUUCAGGCUCCAAAGUGUUUUGUAAAAUUUUCUGUAGAGGAUUUUUAAAGCAUAAGCUCUAGGAUUAUGAGCCGAUCUCUGUAAUAGUUAAUAUGCACUUCAUACCGUAAAUUCACCUGACUUCUCCCCUCCCCAAAUAAGAAAAUCUUCCUACGGUGAUCGUGCUAGCGGGAUCUUGAGGAUU